rnacentral:RNase_P_RNA from 1 species
GAAGUGAGUCAGACGGUCGCGUCUCGAAUCAUCGGGAUGAGGAAAGUCCGAACUCCACAGGGCAGGACGCCUCGUAACACGAGGGCGCCGCGAGGCGACGGAAAGUGCCGCAGAAAAUAUACCGCCCGCUUAAUAGCGGGUAAGGGUGAAAAGGCGAGGUAAGAGCUCACCGCCCCGAAGGGUAACCAUCGGGGGCAGGGUAAACCCCGUCCGGAGCGAGACUGAAUAAGCAGGAAUCUCGAUUUAUCGGGAACGGAUUCGCCCGGUCCGUCCGACCUGCGGGUGGGUCGCGCGAGCUGGGAGGUGACUUCCAGCCCAGAUAAAUGACCGUCCUUGACAGAAUUCGGCUUACAGACUCACUUCCCUU